rnacentral:rRNA from 1 species
GACGAACGCUGGCGGCGUGCUUAACACAUGCAAGUCGAACGGAAAGGCCCUGCUUUUGUGGGGUGCUCGAGUGGCGAACGGGUGAGUAACACGUGAGUAACCUGCCCUUGACUUUGGGAUAACUUCAGGAAACUGGGGCUAAUACCGGAUAGGAGCUCCUGCUGCAUGGUGGGGGUUGGAAAGUUUCGGCGGGUGGGGAUGGACGCGCGGCUUAUCAGCUUGUUGGUGGGGUAGUGGCUUACCAAGGCUUUGACGGGUAGCCGGCCUGAGAGGGUGACCGGCCACAUUGGGACUGAGAUACGGCCCAGACUCCUACGGGAGGCAGCAGUGGGGAAUAUUGCACAAUGGGCGGAAGCCUGAUGCAGCAACGCCGCGUGCGUGAUGACGGCCUUCGGGUUGUAAACCGCUUUCGCCUGUGACGAAGCGUGAGUGACGGUAAUGGGUAAAGAAGCACCGGCUAACUACGUG